rnacentral:rRNA from 1 species
UACAGAGGCCUCGAGCGUUAGGCGGAAUCACUGGGCUUAAAGCGUGUGUAGGCGGACUGGUAAGUACCUUGUGAAAUCCCACGGCUCAACCGUGGAACUGCUCGGUAUACUGCUGGUCUUGAGCCACUCAGGGGCUACCGGAACAAAUGGUGGAGCGGUGAAAUGCGUAGAUAUCAUUUGGAACGCCAAUGGUGAAAACAGGUAGCUGGGGGUGUGCUGACGCUGAGACACGAAAGCCAGGGGAGCAAACGGG